UCCGUUAUGGUGUAGUGGCUAACAUUAUCGCCUCUCAUUGACUAACAAAUGAGCGAGCGCGAUAGCCCAGGGUUCGAUUCCCUGUAACGGAA